rnacentral:rRNA from 1 species
CUGAUGCAGCGACGCCGCGUGAGGGAUGACGGCCUUCGGGUUGUAAACCUCUUUCAGUAGGGAAGAAGCCGUAAGGUGACGGUACCUGCAGAAGAAGCGCCGGCUAACUACGUGCCAGCAGCCGCGGUAAUACGUAGGGCGCAAGCGUUAUCCGGAAUUAUUGGGCGUAAAGAGCUCGUAGGCGGUUUGUCGCGUCUGCCGUGAAAGUCCGGGGCUCAACUCCGGAUCUGCGGUGGGUACGGGCAGACUAGAGUGAUGUAGGGGAGACUGGAAUUCCUGGUGUAGCGGUGAAAUGCGCAGAUAUCAGGAGGAACACCGAUGGCGAAGGCAGGUCUCUGGGCAUUAACUGACGCUGAGGAGCGAAAGCAUGGGGAGCGAACAGGAUUAGAUACCCUGGUAGUCCAUGCCGUAAACGUUGGGCACUAGGUGUGGGGGACAUUCCACGUUUUCCGCGCCGUAGCUAACGCAUUAAGUGCCCCGCCUGGGGAGUACGGCCGCAAGGCUAAAACUCAAAGGAAUUGACGGGGGCCCGCACAAGCGGCGGAGCAUGCGGAUUAAUUCGAUGCAACGCGAAGAACCUUACCAAGGCUUGACAUGAACCGGAAAGAUCUGGAAACAGGUCCCCCACUUGUGGUCGGUUUACAGGUGGUGCAUGGUUGUCGUC